rnacentral:rRNA from 1 species
UGCGUAGGCGGAAUAUUAAGUCAGUGGUGAAAUCCUGCGGCUCAACCGUAGAACUGCCAUUGAUACUGAUAUUCUUGAAUGUAGUUGAGGUAGGCGGAAUGUGUGAUGUAGCGGUGAAAUGCUUAGAUAUUACACAGAACACCGAUUGCGAAGGCAGCUUACUAAACUAUGAUUGACGCUGAGGCACGAAAGCGUGGGGAGCGAACAGGAUUAGAUACCCUGGUAGUCC